rnacentral:tRNA from 1 species
UAGCUCAGCGGCAUAAGCACCUGCCUUGCAAGCAGGCAGUCGUGAGUUCGAUCCCAC